CAAGAUGCUCAAUGAUCCUUGAGGCUAUGCAAUGCAAUGCUAUGAUGCCAUGAGGGAUCUUAGGGACAAAAUUGGGGUCUUAUAGAUGCCCCUAUUUAAGGUCAUUCUAGCCGGAGAAGUGAAGGUUAAAAUCUUCGUCUCGACGAGGUAGAAUGGACUUAAAUAAUAACAAAGAGACAAAUUUUGGUCCCUAAGAGACCUCACAAUGCAAAUGUAUGUAGGCAAGACAAAAAAAAC
rnacentral:lncRNA from 1 species